GAUGAACGCUGGCGGCGUGCCUAAUACAUGCAAGUCGAGCGAACGGACGAGAAGCUUGCUUCUCUGAUGUUAGCGGCGGACGGGUGAGUAACACGUGGAUAACCUACCUAUAAGACUGGGAUAACUUCGGGAAACCGGAGCUAAUACCGGAUAAUAUUUUGAACCGCAUGGUUCAAAAGUGAAAGACGGUCUUGCUGUCACUUAUAGAUGGAUCCGCGCUGCAUUGGCUAGUUGGUAAGGUAACGGCUUACCAAGGGAACGAUGCAUAGCCGACCUGAGAGGGGGGUCGGCCCCACUGGAACUGAGACACGGUCCUGACUCCUACGGGAGGCAGCAGUAGGGAAUCGUCCGCAAUGGGCGGAAGCCUGACGGAGCGACGCCGCGUGAGUGAUGAAGGUCUUCGGAUCGUAAAACUCUGUUAUUAGGGAAGAACAUAUGUGUAAGUAACUGUGCACAUCUUGACGGUACCUAAUCAGAAAGCCACGGCUAACUACGUG
rnacentral:rRNA from 1 species